rnacentral:rRNA from 1 species
AGAGCGAACGCUGGCGGCAGGCCUAAUACAUGCAAGUCGAACGGAUCCUUCGGGAUUAGUGGCGGACGGGUGAGUAACACGUGGGAACGUACCCUUUGGUUCGGAACAACUCAGGGAAACUUGAGCUAAUACCGAAUGUGCCCUUCGGGGAAAAGAUUUAUCGCCAUUGGAGCGGCCCGCGUCUGAUUAGCUAGUUGGUAGGGUAAAGGCCUACCAAGGCUACGAUCAGUAGCUGGUCUGAGAGGAUGAUCAGCCACACUGGGACUGAGACACGGCCCAGACUCCUACGGGAGGCAGCAGUAGGGAAUCUUGCGCAAUGGGCGAAAGCCUGACGCAGCCAUGCCGCGUGAAUGAUGAAGGUCUUAGGGUUGUAAAGCUCUUUUACCCGGGAUGAUAAUGACAGUACCGGGAGAAUAAGCUCCGGCUAACUCCGUGCCAGCAGCCGC